AGUGGGAUAGCUGGGUCAAAUGGUGGUUCUAUUCCCAGUUUUCCAAGGAUUCUCCAUACCACUUUUCAUAUUGGAUGUACCAUUUUGCAGUCCCAACAGCAAU
rnacentral:pre_miRNA from 1 species